rnacentral:rRNA from 1 species
CUACGGGAGGCACCAGUGGGGAAUAUUGCACAAUGGAGGAAACUCUGAUGCAGCAACGCCGCGUGGAGGAUGACACUUUUCGGAGCGUAAACUCCUUUUAUAUAGGAAGAAGAUGACGGUACUAUAUGAAUAAGCGCCGGCUAACUCCGUGCCAGCAGCCGCGGUAAUACGGAGGGCGCAAGCGUUACUCGGAAUCACUGGGCGUAAAGAGCGUGUAGGCGGAUUAAAAAGUCAGAAGUGAAAUCCUAUAGCUUAACUAUAGAACUGCUUCUGAAACUCUUAAUCUAGAAUAUGGGAGAGGUAGAUGGAAUUUCUGGUGUAGGGGUAAAAUCCGUAGAGAUCAGAAGGAAUACCGAUUGCGAAGGCGAUCUACUAGAACAUUAUUGACGCUGAGACGUGAAAGCGUGGGGAGCAAACAGGAUUAGAUACCCUGGUAGUC